rnacentral:rRNA from 1 species
UACGUAGGGUCCGAGCGUUGUCCGGAAUUAUUGGGCGUAAAGGGCUCGUAGGCGGUUUGUCGCGUCGGGAGUGAAAACACGGGGCUUAACCCCGUGCCUGCUUCCGAUACGGGCAGACUAGAGGUAUGCAGGGGAGAACGGAAUUCCUGGUGUAGCGGUGAAAUGCGCAGAUAUCAGGAGGAACACCGGUGGCGAAGGCGGUUCUCUGGGCAUUACCUGACGCUGAGGAGCGAAAGCCAGGGGAGCAAACGGG